ACUAAUUCGUUUGUAUGCAUAUUGGCAAAAUGCGAAGGCGUGCGUAGGUAGAAGGGGAGAAGAACAUACCAAACAUACCAAGAAUGUCUCUAUUGAAAGGAACCUUUUUGCGUACAAAUUAUGAUAUAAAACUAGCAUUUAAAAUAAACAUCAAUAUAUUUGUGACAUCAAUCUUUUGCCUUGCUAUUUUUAUUACUUUUUGUCCUUCUGGUGAGUGGUGACAAUAGAAAAACGGCAUAAGAAAGCCUUAGGAAGAGAAACGAGAAUUCAGCAGAUCGAAUGCAUGGAGGAACUAAGUUGCACUCAAUCUAAGACAAGUUCCUGACACAAAUUACUCCAAAGAAGGUUGGAAGUGAGGGGGGAGGUUUCUCAUUCAUACGUGCUCAUCGAGUGUGAAUCAGAAAUUGUGCUCUUACGUAUCAAAGGCAGACUCGUCUAUCGACGAAUGGAAGCUUUGUUUAGUCGAGAGACCUUGGCUGGGUAUUCAGUAUAUCUCAAAUCUGGAAUGCCAUUAUUUACAUAUCAUAUGAUACAAUUACAUAGAAAUUGCGACAUAUUGACAACAAUGUGAAUUUCUGAAGAAAUAUUUAAAAUUCAAACAAACCCCGGGGGGUAAAUAAUUUCUUGUUGUUUUAGCUGUAUAUUAGGUUAUUUCUCUUGUGUAAAAAGUUAACAAUGAAGAUAGAAUAGUGAAAACAUUUAUUUGCAUUUCAUUCAACAGAAACCAAUUCUGAGCGGGCUUAGUAUUUUCAAUGAAAAUAUAGCGUGAUCAAAUUGAAUUAUACUAAAGAUUGUCAUAGAAUUUUUAAUUAUAUGUGUAUAUUGUAAACAUACUUCAAAUGUCGAUGCUAAAGUCGAGUUAUUGUUAUGAAAAUUUCAACUAUGUGCAAUGUAUUCACCACAAAUGAAAAUCUCACAUUGAAAA